rnacentral:rRNA from 1 species
UACGUAGGGUGCGAGCGUUGUCCGGAAUUACUGGGCGUAAAGAGCUCGUAGGUGGUUUGUCGCGUUGUUCGUGAAAACUCACAACUCAAUUGUGAGCGUGCGGGCGAUACGGGCAGACUGGAGUACUGCAGGGGAGACUGGAAUUCCUGGUGUAGCGGUGGAAUGCGCAGAUAUCAGGAGGAACACCGGUGGCGAAGGCGGGUCUCUGGGCAGUAACUGACGCUGAGGAGCGAAAGCGUGGGGAGCGAACAGG